rnacentral:lncRNA from 1 species
AGUAACAAAGCAGGAAAGGAGAUUGUGGUUGUGCUCACAACCUCUGCACCACUGGGAGUGGUUCAGCACCCAGCUCUGCCACCUGCCAGCUGCGAGUCCUGGGGAAAGUUACCGUCUCUAUGUCUCAGUUUCCUCACCAUGUCCUCACUGGAACUUUAGGCAGGAACAGGGUUGUACCACAACUCGGCAUUAUUAACCCAUUUUGGAGAUGAGGACUCCUGAGGCUCAGGGAGGUGAUGUGACUUGCCCGAAGUCACAAAACUGGUAAGUGACAGAGUCAGGAUUCAAAUCCAGCAAAAAGACCUGUGCUGUCAGUCUCUCCGCCUCCCAUCUGACCAGGUGGCCAAGCUCCUGCUAACUGAGCUGGGUGCCUGGAGGCCCAGGCUUCGGGGGAAAAGGUUGUUGCCAAGGUCGUUGCUGUGGACACAGUGGGACAGACCACACAGACUGGGCCCACUCCUGCCCUGAGGCAGGUCCUCCCCAGGGCCCGGCAGCCCAGGGGAGAAACUCAGGCUCCGUACACCCCAUGCACAAUGGGCCCUGCCUCUUUAAAUGGAAAGCAUUGGGUCCUCCUCAUGCCAGGCCAGAAGAGGCAGAAGUGGCUCCAUGUCCAAUGUAACUUCAGGAUUAAAACUGCAGACCACUUUUUGGAAGGUGCUAGAAGAUUUAACACAACUUCCUGUCAACUUCCCAAUUGUUUCUUAGAGAACUUUUGGGAGGGCUAUAUUUCUCACCCUUAGUGAUUUGCACCCAAAGCUAAAAUAUUGUCGCACAUCCAGAAGAGAGAAGGGAUUUGAAGGUAAUGUGAAGAAGGCCCAUGAGGUCCCUGACUUGGAUCAGGAGACGGGUUUGAGGUCUGGCUUGGCCACUGUCUUGCUGCGUGACUUCAGGAAAAUCCUUUCUUUCUCUUUGCCUCAUGAGCAGGGGGCAGGGGCCAAAGGGUGUAUCCAGUCUGUGGGGAGCUGUGGGCUCCUGGGGGAAAUAAGAGCAUACAAAUGUAGGAAGCAAUGUCUUCUGUGACUGCUGACUGGCCCUGACUCAUCCAGAGUCAGGGCUCCCUUGAAAUGAAGAUGAUAAGAGACAAGGAUGUGCAGAGGUUGGACGGGACCAAUGGUCCUGAGCAAUACGGGUCUGGGGUUGCACCCUCACUCUGCUGUUCCCAGCUGUGUGACCUUGGAUGAGUGACUUAAAUUCUCUGAGCUUCCCUCAUCUCAUCUAUAAAAUAGCAAUCCUAAUCACUAUCUAUAGGGUAAUUGUGAGAUGUAAACAAGUCAACACACUCGUUUGCUUCAUAAAUGCUACUUUUCCUAGCCUAACCCCACUUCCUAGAAGUUUCUUCCACCCAGUAAUAGAAUAACACAUGAUAUGAUUCCCUCCAUUGCAGAUGUGCCACCACUCCCCAGAAAUAAUCUUUCUUUCCCAAUCCUAACCUCUGGAAACCUAAUACUAAGAUUCAUUCUUUGUGGUUAAAAAACUCUUUAUUUGUUAUUGGACCAAGACUGAGGCUUAUCAGUUAAUAACACUUUAGCAUGAAUCUGUUCAAAUCAAACACCUUCUUCUCUGAUAGGAGGACAUGGGGAGGGGGAUUUUAAUGAAGAGAGGCCACAAUACUGAAGCACUGACCUUUCACAGGGUCACUAGGUGGGCAGGAAAAACCAGAAACCUGCCAGAAGAUGUGGACUAAAUUAACCUUUAAUAUUCUAGGACUUUCUGAAAUAAUAACCCUGAGCAACAAACCUUAAGACAAAAUGUAUAUUCUUGGGCAUUCGUUAGGAGCCCCGUGAUAUCUAAGUCUAGCCUCCAUUCUACGUAUGAGCAGGGCGGCCUCGGAUGCCUGCUUAACAGCCAUUCUUUUCCAUGCUGCCAAGACAUAGCAGAAGGAGGAAAUGCAUAAUACCUGCUUUCCUGGACUCCUUCCCAAUUAAGGGUCUCCUCUGUCCCAUUCUUUAAAACUUCUACUAGAGGGAUCCCAGGAAAGAUUUCUCUCCCCAUUUGAAAGGGAAAGAUACAAGGAGAACCUUACUUCCUCACCCUCUUUCCUUCUAUCUUUGGAUGCUUCCUUUUAAGGAUGUGAGGCUUGAAGCAGUGGCAGCCAUUUUGCAGUCAUGAGGCUGACCCAAUGAGCUAGCACUGGCUCCUUACUAACUCAGCCCAGAGACCUUCCACUACCAGGUACUUAUUACUUUAGCGCUUUUACUUAUAUAUUCUGUUACCUGCAGGCAAAAUGCUCCUUCUUGAUUCACAAGGCAACUGAGGCCAUGUGACUGACUUAGAGCCAACUCUAUGUUAGCUGGUAGUGGUGGCAGCAUGGUGCGACCCUGGUGUCCAUGGUUUCAAUAACUUCCAUAGCACCAUAUCCCAAGGUGACCCUGCUGGGUGCCUUGCAACUCAGCCUGGGAGACACUUCCACCCCUCCUUUCAAGAAGUACACCUACCAUGGCCUCUUACAGCUGUACCAAGUCAGUUCCUCAGCCCCAAUGAACAACUCCCUAAUGCCAAAAAGAGCCCUAGGACCUUCCCUGUGUAGCCUUGAGGAAACAUGUCUUUUGGGGUCACGGUGACAUAAAAAAGAUAAAUCACACCCUUCUGGGCAUCUCCACUCAUGGGAUUUGAGAGCUAAGAACCCAGCACAGGCAACUGAAGUCAUCUCCCUGCCUCCAGAAGGGUGGCUGGUGCUCUCCAAGGAAGAGGAGUAUGUGAUUGCCUUCUGAACCUUGACCCCAUGUCCAGCCAGCCUAGUCACCCAGAAGGACCCUUGCCCUCAAAGUAUUUCCCCUGUGAGCACCUAAGACUCCAUAGGAGUGUGCAUGCCUUCAGCAUAAACCUCUGUCCUGGCCAGCAUGCAAACUGCCCCACUCUACCUAGGAAUGAACACUUUCUUUAGGGGAAGGUUUGCUGGGGAAGCUCAUCUCAUGGGGAGCUGGGGCUCAGAGGUCUAAGCUGGGUGUCAGGGAGACACAGCGCAUGUUACUCAGGUGCGAGGCUGUCUCAAAGGAAAGGGAGAUGACGUCUUCAGUGUGGCUUUAGGGACCCUUGCAUGGAAACUAGAGGGAGACAGGUCCUACCUGACAGAGGGUGGGGCCUUUCGACACUCACAGGAUCACCAGGUGAGUGUCCAUAGGAAUAGGCGGGUUCUCACUGGCCCUGCUGUGUAGAAGACAAUAGGAAAUGGUGGGGACCAUGGGCAUCUGCAGAGGAUUACCUAAGCUUCUGAAUUUCUAAGAGAAGUUGGAAAUCCAGGGUUUUUUUCAUGACAUUUCCCAGUUUGGGGAUUUGGGUAGCUAAUUCCAGUUUAAGUCAGCAGAUGGGGUAAUGCAGUGUACACAGAAUUAAACACGUGUUUACGGGAUUAGCCCGAAGACCCCUAGCUGGAAGCUGAGAUUUAGAGUUUCAGGAGUUAGGAGUGUUGCAAGUCAAGUAAUCAGGAAGUGGCUCUAAAGGCCACACACAGUGCCCCUCCCUUUGCCAAUGACAUCCUGAGGACACGAGGCGAUAGGGCUUGUUGGCUCUUAGGUUUCUCCACUGCAUCACACCCCUGUGCCAUGUCCUGAGACUCUGAAGCCCACCCCACCCCUCUCCCUGCCCUCUCCAGUGCUCUGAACACAUUCAGGAUGCAGGGUCAGAGAGGAAUCAGAAGUUGCUGCCCAGCAUCGUCUCCCAUGAUUUGGCUUUAGUGGAAAAUUCCACUGGCUUCUCCCAGGUAGUAUUGUCACACAGUGACAACACAGCAUCCACAGGCAUCAAAGCCCUGCUCUUCCCUGACAAGGAUGGUGUCUUCUUGGUCAUCUUUUUACAUCCCUGUCACUGUUGCACUGACCAGGCAAGACCAGCCUCUGCAAACUGUCCCUUGGGGGGUGUUUCACUAAGCAUUCCCCAACCCCAGCUCAAAGAGAUUCCUGCUGGAGAAGGAGGCUACGGCAGUGGCUCUGAAGGUUACUCCCAGGUUUUCUUUCUAGGCCUCCUGGGGACAUGGGUGGUGGUUAAGGACCACUCAGGGCCAUCCAAACUGAUGCACAAGUACCCAGAGACACAAACCAGGCCACUGAGAAGCUGGGUGACCUCCCAAAACCCCAGCCUCCAAGAACAGGAUAAAACCCUCAGCCUGAUGACCCCACAGGGGCAGGAUAUCGACAAACCAGACGCAGAGUUACUGUUCCAAUGAAAAGGUGAAUUUUUCUUCCCAUGACCCAUAAGGGCCCUCCUGGCAUCAGUGAUGAGCUGCUUUACUCACCUCUGAGGCCAGGGGCCCACAGACAGGAAUGUGAGGUGACAGUGGAGGAGGCUGGGCCACUUUCCAGGAGAAACACAGGGCUGGUCCUGAAGGGCUGGCUUCACGCCCACAGCACCUUUCCAGGCUGGAGGAUGGUGGGGAAAUGAGCUCACUCAGGCAGAGGAGCCCUGUUGCCUAUAACCCUAGGGAGAUUAGGAAGAACUUUUAGAAACAGGGAUUAUUCUAAAAGGCAAAGCUGGUCCAUUGCUUCCCUGAUUUAAAUUGCACAGGGGGCUUCCAUUUCCAGCCAAGAUGGAGUAACAAAGACCAGGUUACCCUCACAUCUGCAAAGAAUGAAAAGUGAGCAAAACAAUAAUUUAUUUUCAACUAGACAUCAGACCGUGAUGGAAAGUGGCAAAUGAAAGACAGGAAAUAAGGUGAACCCAGUGACUGCCUCAGCUCAUUGCCUUAAAACAUUUCCAGGCCAAGCUCAGCAGGGGGAAUGUAGGUGGAAACCAGUGGACUCCUUAAGUUGAGGAGAUGGAGCUGAGGGUCCAGAACAGAGCACUGGAGAGACAAGAGCAGUGUGGAGAGAGAUCUCUGAGAUUGCAGAGGGUACCUUGCAGUAUGCAACUGAGUACUGACCUGGUCUGUGUAUGAGGAAACCACCUGAAGCCAGAAAAAGAACCACCCCAAAGGAUUACAGAGAACAAGGUCUGGCAUGCAGGCAGGGCUGGGAAUAGUGCCUUUGGCCACCAGCCAGACUGGUAACUCUCAGGAUUCAUGGGACAUUGAGUCAGGCACUCAGAAGGAGGCAAUAAUUAGCUCUAAAUGGAAAAGGGCUCUGCUCCCAUCAAACUCAAAGCAAGACCCAGAAGGAUCAAAUUGUUUCCUAAUAGUUUAACUGCAUCUCAGAUAAAGCUCAAGGAUAUUAACAGGGAUACAAAAACAUCUAGCACACAGCAAGGUUAACGUGCAGUGUCUGGAACCCAAUAAACAAUUAUCAGGUAUGCAAAGAAGCAGGAAAUUACAAUGAUACUGAGAAGAUAAAGCAAUUAAAAGUGACCCAGAACUGACCAGAUGCUAUAAUGAGCAGGUAGGGACACAGUCACAGUUAUUAUAAAUGGAUUUCAUAUGUUCGAAAAGGUAAGCAGAUAUAAGGAAGAUAUAAAAAAAGACACAGAUCUAACUUCUAGAGAUGAAAACUACAGUGUAUGGACUGAAGAGGCCCUGGAUGAGUUCAACAGUAGAUUAGAUAGUGUGGAGGAAAAGAUUAAUGAACUUGAAGACAGCAAUAGAAACUAAAAUAAAACACAA